rnacentral:miRNA from 1 species
GUGUGUGCGCGUGUGUGUGUGUGUGUGUGUGUGUGUGGGUGGGUGUGCGCACACACGCGCACGCCCACAAUCUUCACACUCAAG